GAAGUUCGCCAGGCAAUCGCUGCGCACCUCGUGUGCGUGGAGGAAAGUCCGGGCCCCGCAGAGCAGGAUGCCGGCUAACGGCCGGGCGCCGCGAGGCGACGGAAAGUGCAACAGAAAGCAAACCGCCGAUGGCCUGUUCGCAGGCACAGGUAAGGGUGAAAUGGUGGGGUAAGAGCCCACCGCAGUCCUGGUGACAGGACUGGCACGGUAAACCCCAUCCGGGGCAAGGCCAAAUAGGGGAGCAAUGGCGUGGCUCGCGCUGCUCCCGGGUAGGCUGCUAGAGCGCCGUGGCAACACGGCCCCCAGAGGAAUGAUUGCCCGGCGGCUGCGGCGAAGGUCGCGGCCGUUCGACAAAACCCGGCUUAUCGGCGAACUUCCCAU
rnacentral:RNase_P_RNA from 1 species